UAGAUCUACGGGACGCAGCAGUAGGGAAUCUUCCACAAUGGGCGAAAGCCUGAUGGAGCAACGCCGCGUGGGUGAAGAAGGUCUUCGGAUCGUAAAACCCUGUUGUUAGAGAAGAAAGUGCGUGAGAGUAACUGUUCACGUUUCGACGGUAUCUAACCAGAAAGCCACAGCUAACUACGUGCCAGCAGCCGAGGUAAUACGUAGGUGGCAAGCGUUAUCCGGAUUUAUUGGGCGUAAAGGGAACGCAGGCGGUCUUUUAAGUCUGAUGUGAAAGCCUUCGGCUUAACCGGAGGAGUGCAUUGGAA
rnacentral:rRNA from 1 species